rnacentral:rRNA from 1 species
UUGAACGCUGGCGGCAGGCUUAACACAUGCAAGUCGAACGGUAACAUAAAGGAGCUUGCUUCUUUGAUGACGAGUGGCGGACGGGUGAGUAAUGCUUGGGAAUCUAGCUUAUGGAGGGGGAUAACUACGGGAAACUGUAGCUAAUACCGCGUAGAAUCGGGAGAUGAAAGUGUGGGACCUUCGGGCCACAUGCCAUAGGAUGAGCCCAAGUGGGAUUAGGUAGUUGGUGAGGUAAAGGCUCACCAAGCCGACGAUCUCUAGCUGGUCUGAGAGGAUGACCAGCCACACUGGGACUGAGACACGGCCCAGACUCCUACGGGAGGCAGCAGUGGGGAAUAUUGCGCAAUGGGGGCAACCCUGACGCAGCCAUGCCGCGUGAAUGAAGAAGGCCUUCGGGUUGUAAAGUUCUUUCGGUAGCGAGGAAGGCAUUUAGUUUAAUAGACUAGGUGAUUGACGUUAACUACAGAAGAAGCACCGGCUAACUCCGUG